AAUCUGUCUUUCUAGCAUGUUGCCCUUUUUCAACCACAUUUGUGUUUCAGGUGUAGAGAGGAGAGAGUGAACAGGGAGCGGGGCUUUUGUCUGUUUAUUACCCAGAACUCUUUGUCUGGGUCAGUCAAGAACCAUUUCUAAACAAGGACAUGGAGGGAAGGCUUCCUAAGGGAAGACUUCCUGUCCCAAAGGAAGUGAACCGCAAGAAGAACGAUGAGACAAACGCUGCCUCCCUGACUCCACUGGGCAGCAGUGAACUCCGCUCCCCAAGAAUCAGUUACCUCCACUUUUUUUAAUCGUAACACCUCCAUUUGUAUUACAUAUGGUGUAUGGGUAUUGAUGAGGUCAUGGUAUCAUAUAUGGGAUUUUUUUCUGUGUAAAUCAUCAAGUAUAAGAAGAAACUAUGGGACUCUGAGCCUUGCUUUAGAGAAUUUACAGUGGACAAAUAGGUAUCAUCAAACCAGUUUUUAAUCAUUCUGACUCAAGUGAAAACGCUCAGAAUUUCACACUGUGAAUCCACGUUUACAACCCUUACAGGUGGGCCUUCAGGCCUGGUUCGCUACAACAAUGUCUUC
rnacentral:sRNA from 1 species